AUUGAACGCUGGCGGCAGGCCUAACACAUGCAAGUCGAACGGUAACAGGAAGACGCUUGCUUCUUUGCUGACGCGUGGCGGACGGGUGAGUAAUGUCUGGGAAACUGCCUGAUGGAGGGGGAUAACUACUGGAAACGGUAGCUAAUACCGCAUAACGUCGCAAGACCAAAGAGGGGGACCUUCGGGCCUCUUGCCAUCGUAUGUGCCCCGAUGGGAUUAGCUAGUAGGUGGGGUAACGGCUCACCUAGGCGACGAUCCCUAGCUGGUCUGAGAGGAUGACCAGCCACACUGGAACUGAGACACGGUCCAGACUCCUACGGGAGGCAGCAGUGGGGAAUAUUGCACAAUGGGCGCAAGCCUGAUGCAGCCAUGCCGCGUGUAUGAAGAAGGCCUUCGGGUUGUAAAGUACUUUCAGCGGGGAGGAAGGGAGUAAAGUUAAUACCUUGGCUAAUUGACGUUACCCGCAGAAGAAGCACCGGCUAACUCCGUG
rnacentral:rRNA from 1 species